GUGCGCCCCGCCCCCCAUCGGGGGCAACCAUUGUUCCGCCGGUCGCGCCGGUCGCGCCGGAGCUGGGUUGCUCCUGUGCCCGUCUCCAAGUCCUGGUACCUCCUUCAAGCUGGGAGAGGGCUCUAGUCCCUGGUUCUGAACACUCUGGGGUUCUCGGGUGCAGGCCGCCAUGAGCAAACGGAAGGCGCCGCAGGAGACUCUCAACGGGGGAAUCACCGACAUGCUCACAGAACUCGCAAACUUUGAGAAGAACGUGAGCCAAGCUAUCCACAAGUACAAUGCUUACAGAAAAGCAGCAUCUGUUAUAGCAAAAUACCCACACAAAAUAAAGAGUGGAGCUGAAGCUAAGAAAUUGCCUGGAGUAGGAACAAAAAUUGCUGAAAAGAUUGAUGAGUUUUUAGCAACUGGAAAAUUACGUAAACUGGAAAAGACUUUUUUUUUCUUAAAGAUUCGGCAGGAUGAUACGAGUUCAUCCAUCAAUUUCCUGACUCGAGUUAGUGGCAUUGGUCCAUCUGCUGCAAGGAAGUUUGUAGAUGAAGGAAUUAAAACACUAGAAGGCUCACAGCUGGAUUCAUGCCCGGUAAAGGGACACCUGAAUGGAACUGAGUCACUUUUAGACUUAAUAUGGGAUGUUAUGACAAUUCUUAAGUUAAAAAAUGCAGAUCUCAGAAAAAAUGAAGAUAAAUUGAACCAUCAUCAGCGAAUUGGGCUGAAAUAUUUUGGGGACUUUGAAAAAAGAAUUCCUCGUGAAGAGAUGUUACAAAUGCAAGAUAUUGUACUAAAUGAAGUUAAAAAAGUGGAUUCUGAAUACAUUGCUACGGUCUGUGGCAGUUUCAGAAGAGGUGCAGAGUCCAGUGGUGACAUGGAUGUUCUCCUGACCCAUCCCAGCUUCACUUCAGAAUCAACCAAACAGCCAAAACUGUUACAUCAGGUUGUGGAGCAGUUACAAAAGGUUCAUUUUAUCACAGAUACCCUGUCGAAGGGUGAGACAAAGUUCAUGGAAGAGAAGCACUCGAGGUCAACUUUCAAAUCAAUUUUAGAGACAGGGUGUUUGCCAGCUUCCCAGUAAAAAUGAUGAAAAAGAAUAUCCACACAGAAGAAUUGAUAUCAGGUUGAUACCCAAAGAUCAGUAUUACUGUGGUGUUCUCUAUUUCACUGGGAGUGAUAUUUUCAAUAAGAAUAUGAGGGCUCAUGCCCUAGAAAAGGGUUUCACAAUCAAUGAGUAUACCAUCCGUCCUUUGGGAGUCACUGGAGUUGCAGGAGAACCCCUGCCAGUGGAUAGUGAAAAAGACAUCUUUGAUUACAUCCAGUGGAAAUACCGGGAACCCAAGGACCGGAGCGAAUGAGGCCUGUAUCCUCCCUGGCAGACACAACCCAAUAGGAGUCUUAAUUUAUUUCUUAACCUUUGCUAUGUAAGGGUCUUUGGUGUUUUUAAAUGAUUGUUUCUUCAUGCUUUUGCUUGCAAUGUAGUCAAUAAAACCUCAUGUACUAUUA